GAUGAACGCUGGCGGCGUGCCUAAUACAUGCAAGUCGAGCGGUAAGGCCCCUUCGGGGGUACACGAGCGGCGGACGGCUGAGUAACACGUAGGAACGUACCCCAAACUGAGGGAUAAGCACCGGAAACGGUGUCUAAUACCGCAUGUGCUCUUCGGAGUAAAGCUACGGCGGUUUGGGAACGGCCUGCGCAUGAUUAGCUAGUUGGUGAGGUAAUGGCUCACCAAGGCGACGAUCAUUAGCUGGUCUGAGAGGAUGAUCAGCCAGACUGGGACUGAGAACGGCCCAGACUCCUACGGGAGGCAGCAGUAGGGAAUUUUCCACAAUGGGGGCAACCCUGAUGGAGCAACGCCGCGUGCAGGAUGAAGGGUUUCGGCUCGUAAACUGCUUUUAUCUGUGACGAUUAUGACGGUAGCGGAUGAAUAAGGACCGGCUAACUCCGUGCCAGCAGCCGCCGUAA
rnacentral:rRNA from 1 species